rnacentral:rRNA from 1 species
UACAGAGGUCUCAAGCGUUGUUCGGAUUCAUUGGGCGUAAAGGGUGCGUAGGUGGCGAGGUUAGUCAGGUGGGAAAUCUCGGGGCUCAACCCCGAAACUGCACUUGAUACUGCCUUGCUAGAGUACUGGAGAGGAGAUUGGAAUUUACGGUGUAGCAGUGAAAUGCGUAGAUAUCGUAAGGAAGACCAGUGGCGAAGGCGAAUCUCUGGACAGUUACUGACACUGAGGCACGAAGGCCAGGGGAGCAAACGGG